CGGGGGAGUCGCAAGACCUCGCGCGAUCGGAUGAGCCGAUGUCGGAUUAGCUAGUUGGUGGGGUAAAGGCCGUACCAAGGCGACGAUCCGUAGCUGGUCUGAGAGGAUGAUCAGCCACACUGGGACUGAGACACGGCCCAGACUCCUACGGGAGGCAGCAGUGGGGAAUAUUGGACAAUGGGGGCAACCCUGAUCCAGCAAUGCCGCGUGUGUGAAGAAGGCCUUCGGGUUGUAAAGCACUUUUAUCGGGAACGAAACAUUGUCGGUGAAUAUCCGGCAAGACUGACGGUACCCGAGGAAUAAGCACCGGCUAACUUCGUGCC
rnacentral:rRNA from 1 species